GGAGACAUAGACAGACGGUGAGGUGGACGGAGACAUAGACAGACGGUGAAGUGGAUGGUGAGAUGGACAGUGAGGUGGACGGAGACAUAGACAGACGGUGAAGUGGAUGGUGAGGUGGACGGAGACAUAGACAGACGGUGAAGUGGAUGGUGAGGUGGACGGAGACAUAGACAGACGGUGAAGUGGAUGGUGAGGUGGACAGUGAGGUGGACAGUGAGGUGGACGGAGACGUAGACAGACGGUGAGGUGGACGGAGACAUAGACAGACGGUGAAGUGGAUGGUGAGUUGGACAGUGAGGUGGACGGAGACAUAGACAGACGGUGAAGUGGACGGUGAGGUGGACGGAGACAUAGACAGACGGUGAAGUGGACGGAGUGGUGAACUGAGACACAGACAGACGGUGAAGUGGAUGUUGAGGUGGACGGAGAGGUGGACGGUGAAGUGGAUGGUGAAGUGGACGAAGACAUAGACAGACGGUGAAGUGGACGGUGAGGUGGACUGAGACAUAGACAUGCGGUGAAGUGGACGGACAGGUGGAGCGUCAAUCCGAGGAGACGUUGACUUGCAGUGAGCUGUUUGCAUUAAAACUUAAUUUGUGUGAGUAUCAAGCUCUGAACGAACAUGAAGCAUCCAAAUCGUGUCCGGUAGUUCUAGAAAUUCUAGAUGUCAUUUUUCACAAAGAUUCGCCAGUGCAUAAAAAAGAGAAUUUUUCUUGGACUUGAUAUGAAGCAUGGUUUCGUUUUUAGGAUAGGAGAGUAUCUUUUGAGUUUUGAGUCGAGGUUAAACAUUAUACAGUGAAGC
rnacentral:lncRNA from 1 species